rnacentral:rRNA from 2 species
GGUGCUUGCAUCUUGAUUUAAUUUUGAACGAGUGGCGGACGGGUGAGUAACACGUGGGUAACCUGCCCUUAAGUGGGGGAUAACAUUUGGAAACAGAUGCUAAUACCGCAUAAAUCCAAGAACCGCAUGGUUCUUGGCUGAAAGAUGGCGUAAGCUAUCGCUUUUGGAUGGACCCGCGGCGUAUUAGCUAGUUGGUGAGGKAACGGCUCACCAAGGCAAUGAUACGUAGCCGAACUGAGAGGUUGAUCGGCCACAUUGGGACUGAGACACGGCCCAAACUCCUACGGGARGCAGCAGUAGGGAAUCUUCCACAAUGGACGCAAGUCUGAUGGAGCAACGCCGCGUGAGUGAAGAAGGCUUUCGGGUCGUAAAACUCUGUUGUUGGAGAAGAAUGGUCGGCAGAGUAACUGUUGUCGGCGUGACGGUAUCCAACCAGAAAGCCACGGCUAACUACGUGCCAGCAGCCGCGGUAAUACGUAGGUGGCAAGCGUUAUCCGGAUUUAUUGGGCGUAAAGCGAGCGCAGGCGGUUUUUUAAGUCUGAUGUGAAAGCCCUCGGCUUAACCGAGGAAGUGCAUCGGAAACUGGGAAACUUGAGUGCAGAAGAGGACAGUGGAACUCCAUGUGUAGCGGUGAAAUGCGUAGAUAUAUGGAAGAACACCAGUGGCGAAGGCGGCUGUCUGGUCUGUAACUGACGCUGAGGCUCGAA